rnacentral:piRNA from 1 species
UACCCAUUGCCCUAAGCCUGAGAGUCA